AAAUUUGAAAUCUGGCCCUUUCAGGGUCCGAGUUGUAAUUUGUAGAGAGUGUUUCGGGUGAGACCGCGGUCUAAGUCCAUUGGAACAUGGCGUCAUAGAGGGUGAGAAUCCCGUAUGUGACUGUGGAUCGAGCCCAUGUGAAGCCUCUUCGACGAGUCGAGUUGUUUGGGAAUGCAGCUCAAAAUGGGUGGUAAAUUUCAUCUAAAGCUAAAUACUGGCUGGAGACCGAUAGCGCACAAGUAGAGUGAUCGAAAGAUGAAAAGCACUUUGGAAAGAGAGUCAAACAGUACGUGAAAUUGUUGAAAGGGAAGCGCUUGCAACCAGACCUGCCCGUAGGUGAUCGGCCGCUGUUCUCAGUGGUGCACUCGCUCUGCGAUCAGGCCAGCAUCGGUUCUGGCGGCCGGAUAACGGCCUUGGGAAUGUAGCUCCCUCCGGGGAGUCUUAUAGCCCUCGGUGCAAUGCGGCCAGUCGGGACCGAGGACCGCGCUUAGGCUAGGAUGCUGGCGUAAUGGUUGU
rnacentral:rRNA from 1 species